GCCUCCGUAGCUCAGUGGAUAGAGCGUCUGCCUCCGGAGCAGAAGGUCGCUGGUUCGAAUCCAGUCGGGGGUA
rnacentral:tRNA from 1 species